UUAAAUUUUAUUUAUUAAUUAUUAUUAUUAUCAUUUAAAUUAUUAGAAAUAACUAUAAAUUAUAAAGUUUUAGUAUUGUUUAAAGAAAAAAUAAUUUUAAUAAUAGUUUAUUAGUAUUAGUA
rnacentral:rRNA from 1 species